AAAUGUUCAAAGCGCUGGC
rnacentral:tRNA from 1 species